UGGGGAAUAUUGCGCAAUGGGGGCAACCCUGACGCAGCCAUGCCGCGUGAAUGAAGAAGGCCUUCGGGUUGUAAAGUUCUUUCGGUAGCGAGGAAGGCAUUUAGUUUAAUAGACUAGGUGAUUGACGUUAACUACAGAAGAAGCACCGGCUAACUCCGUGCCAGCAGCCGCGGUAAUACGGAGGGUGCGAGCGUUAAUCGGAAUAACUGGGCGUAAAGGGCACGCAGGCGGUGACUUAAGUGAGGUGUGAAAGCCCCGGGCUUAACCUGGGAAUUGCAUUUCAUACUGGGUCGCUAGAGUACUUUAGGGAGGGGUAGAAUUCCACGUGUAGCGGUGAAAUGCGUAGAGAUGUGGAGGAAUACCGAAGGCGAAGGCAGCCCCUUGGGAAUGUACUGACGCUCAUGUGCGAAAGCGUGGGGAGCAAACAGGAUUAGAUACCCUGGUAGUCCACGCUGUAAACGAUGUCGAUUUGGGGGUCGAGCUUUAAGCUUGGCGCCCGUAGCUAACGUGAUAAAUCGACCGCCUGGGGAGUACGGCCGCAAGGUUA
rnacentral:rRNA from 1 species